UACAGGGGGGGCAAGCGUUGUUCGGAAUUACUGGGCGUAAAGGGCUCGUAGGCGGCCAACUAAGUCCGACGUGAAAUCCCAAAGCUUAACUUUGGAACUGCGUCGGAUACUGGAUGGCUUGAAUUCGGGAGAGGGAUGCAGAAUUCCAGGUGUAGCGGUGAAAUGCGUAGAUAUCUGGAGGAAUACCGGUGGCGAAGGCGGAUCUCUGGGCCUGUCCUGACGCUCAGGCGCGAAAGCUAGGGGAGCAAACAGG
rnacentral:rRNA from 1 species